rnacentral:pre_miRNA from 1 species
GUUAAAUUCGGACCACCGGUCUACCGAGCAAUUUCACCCGCUCGGUGGAAGAUUUUGCCUUCGUCGU